AUGUUUGGGAAGAAAAAUCAAAGGUGC
rnacentral:piRNA from 1 species